AGACCCUCUCCCCCCUCUCCCCUCCCCCCGUCACGCGAGGGGUGGUCAGGUGAGAGCGGGGGGGGGGGGAUGGGGGGACAGGUGUGAUGGGACAGGUGUGACAGGACAGAUGUGAUGGGACAGGUGUGACAGAUGUGACUGGACAGGUGUGACAGGACAGGUGUGACGGGACAGGUAUGAUGGGACAGAUGUGAUGGGACAGGUGUGACAGAUGUGAUGGGACAGGUGUGAUGGGACAGGUGUGACAGGACAGGUGUGACAGGACAGGUGUGAUGGGACAGGUGUGACAGAUGUGACGGGACAGGUGUGCCAGGUGUGAUGGGAGAGGUGUGACAGGUGUGAUGGGACAGGUGUGAUGGGACAGAUGUGCCAGGUGUGACAGGACAGGUGUGCCAGGUGUGCCAGGUGUGAGAGGCGGAUGGGAAUGUGGGGACAGGUGUGACAGGGCAGGUGUGAAAGGUGUGAUGGGACAGGUGUGACAGGACAGGUGUGACAGGACAGGUGUGAUGGGACAGAUGUGCCAGGUAUGACUGGACAGGUGUGAAAGGUGUGCCAGGUGAGGGGGAUGGGAAGGUGGGGACAGGUGUGACAGGACAGGUGUGACAGGGCAGGUGUGACAGGACAGGUGUGAUGGGACAGAUGUGCCAGGUGUGUCAGGACAGGUGUGCCAGGACAGGUGUGACAGGAGGUGUGAUGGAUGCCACAGGUGCAAUGCCCAAGUCCAUGCAACAGCUGCCACAGGUGUGCACCAGGUGUGUCACAGGUGUGUCACAGGUGUGCCAACCCCAGAUCCAUGCAGCAGGUGUGCCACAGGUGUGUCACGGGUGUGCUCAGGUGUGCCACAGGUGUGUCACAGGUACACUCCCCCCCCGCAAGCCCAUGCAGCGGUGCCAGGUGUGCCACAGGUGCCCCAGAUCCAUGCAGAGAGCGCCAGGUGUGUCACAGGUGUGUCACAGGUGUGUCACAGGUGCCACAGGUGUGUCACGGGUGUGAUGGCCCCAGAUCCAUGCAGAGAGCACCAGGUGUGCACCAGGUGUGUCACAGGUGUGUCACCCUCAGAUCCAUGCAGCAGGUGUGUCACAGGUGCCACAGGUGUGUCACAGGUGUGUCACAGGUGUGAUGGCCCCAGAUCCAUGCAGCAGGCGCCAGGUGUGUCACAGGUGUGUCACAGGUGUGUCACAGGUGCCGGGUGUGAUGAAUGUCCCAGGUGUGAUGGGUGCCAUGGAUCAGGUGUCCCAGGUGUGUCCCACAUGUGACAGACAGACAGACGCCCACCCCAGGUGUAACGGGUGUGACGGACGCCCCAGGUGUGAUGGACACUCCAGGUGUGACAGGUGUGAUGGAGACCCCAGG